rnacentral:rRNA from 1 species
CCUACGGGUAGCAGCAGUGGGGAAUAUUGGACAAUGGGCGAAAGCCUGAUCCAGCCAUGCCGCGUGUGUGAAGAAGGCCUUCGGGUUGUAAAGCACUUUCAGUGGGGAAGAAAGCCUUGGGGCUAAUACCCUCGAGGAAGGACAUCACCCACAGAAGAAGCACCGGCUAACUCCGUGCCAGCAGCCGCGGUAAUACGGAGGGUGCGAGCGUUAAUCGGAAUUACUGGGCGUAAAGCGCGCGUAGGCGGUCUGAUAAGCCGGUUGUGAAAGCCCCGGGCUCAACCUGGGAACGGCAUCCGGAACUGUCAGGCUAGAGUGCAGGAGAGGAAGGUAGAAUUCCCGGUGUAGCGGUGAAAUGCGUAGAGAUCGGGAGGAAUACCAGUGGCGAAGGCGGCCUUCUGGACUGACACUGACGCUGAGGUGCGAAAGCGUGGGUAGCAAACAGGAUUAGAUACCCUAGUAGUC